AGCACUACUGCACGGCACCAGCAGCUUCCCAUCUGCCUUCCCAGAUCUUUUAUUUACAAAUACGUUUUAACUGUGCUCUUAUCCUAAUCCAAACAAAUACUUGACUAUCUGUAUAUUUCACCACUAGCGAACAACGCGGUCCUAAGUCUGUAUGCCAGACCAGAAAAGCCUGCGCCUCAGAUGCAACACAGAUGUGACUGCUACAGAGGAGGAUGGGGUAGGUGCUGCAGUCCCGCCUACCCAGCAGCUCGGCAGUACUGACCUAGAGGGAUCCGUGUUCUGCCCAGAUCUGCCAAGUCCUAUCAAAUCUAACCUUGUCUGGAAUGAACAGGAAGGUGAAGCCAGAACUCCUUUAGAAUCAGUAGCUGCACAUCAGAGAUUUGACCAAUGUGAUGAGACUUACUCCCAGUAGUGUUCAACAGUCCCUACUGGCAUUAUUUCUCUGCUAGGACUCUUCAAAGGUUUGGGGUGUUCUGACACAGUGAAACAAGUAUCACACUGCCAGGAAACGUGGAUGCCAUGGCUGGAUGCCCUAUUCAAAACCUCUGUUCAUGAACAAGAAGGCCAGAGGUGCAGAGCAGCAGACACAAUCCCUGGUUUUAUUAUAAAACAGUGCUAUCCCAUUGUAACAUAUCACGUUUAUUUUAGUCAAGCAAGACAACAUACGCACAGCAUAAACUCAUCCAGCGCUCUGCAUCAUUGAUUGGAUAUCACAGAACUACAGAACAGCAGGGGCUGGAAGGGAACUCAAGAGAUCAUCGAGUCCAACCCUUCUGUAAAGCAGGCUCCCUACAAUAGGUUGCACAGCUCCCCUUUAGAUAGUAACAGGCCGCUCUCAGGUCACCUCGAAGCCUUCUCUUCUCCACUCUGCACAGCCCCAUAGGAGAGGUGUUCCACCCCUGGGAUCAUUUUUGUGGCCCUCCUCUGAAUGCACCCCAACAGCUCCAUGUCUCUCCUGUACUGAGGACUCCACAUCUGGAUGCAGUACUUCUGGAAUUCCUAAAAUAACUGGAACAAUAGCAGAAAAAGAUGGAGAAAUGAACAUACUCAAUCCAGCAAAAUCAGAAAAUUAAACUUGGAAGGUUUACUUAUUUUGCCAUUCCUCUUUAAUGGGAUCUAGAUAUUUCCUCCCAACUGACUGCACACAGUGUCUCCCUCCUCCCAGACUCUAUGCCACAACCUCCAGGCUUCUUGUCUUGGCUUCCACCUGAGCUAUUCCCCCAGCCACUGCCACCUUUUCCUCUUCAUCUAGUAAAGGCAACUCUGCUCACUAGUAAAUUCAAAGCAAUUUUCUAAAAUGAGAAUUGGAUUUAUAUGGCCCCUGUCAUCCACUGCACAGGUUUAUGUAUAAUCUAGUAAUUUCCAAGGGAGCCUGAGAAUAUUCAUGAUAAAAUUCACUACAUAAAUAAUGUAUUAUUUAUUUAAAUCCAAAUCAAUGAUAUCUGAUGUUCAGAGGGUUGUGACAAUUUUCUUACAAGCUGUAAUUAAUCUUUUUAGGAACAACCAAGCAACUUCCCUAAAAUUGUUUAGCCAGUUUUUGACCAAACCUCAGGAAUAUAGGUCAAAUUGAAUUAC
rnacentral:lncRNA from 7 species